rnacentral:rRNA from 1 species
GAUGAACGCUGGCGGCGUGCUUAACACAUGCAAGUCGAACGGAAAGGCCCAAGCUUGCUUGGGUACUCGAGUGGCGAACGGGUGAGUAACACGUGGGUGAUCUGCCCUGCACUUCGGGAUAAGCCUGGGAAACUGGGUCUAAUACCGGAUAGGACCACAUUUUGGAUGGUGUGGUGGAAAGUUUUUCGGUGUGGGAUGAGCUCGCGGCCUAUCAGCUUGUUGGUGGGGUAAUGGCCUACCAAGGCGUCGACGGGUAGCCGGCCUGAGAGGGUGUACGGCCACAGUGGGACUGAGAUACGGCCCAGACGCCUACGGGAGGCAGCAGUGGGGAAUAUUGCACAAUGGGCGCAAGCCUGAUGCAGCGACGCCGCGUGGGGGAUGACGGCCUUCGGGUUGUAAACUCCUUUCGCUAGGGACGAAGCGUUAUGUGACGGUACCUGGAGAAGAAGCACCGGCUAACUACGUG